GGUGGCCCAGUUUCAUUCUUUUGCAUGUAACUGUCCAAUUUCUCCAACACUACUUGUUGAAGAGACUUUUUCUCACUGCAUAUUAUUGACUCCUUUGUCAAAGAUUAAGUGACCACAUAAUAGGUUAUUGACAGAAUAUUUUUUUAAAGAUAAAAAUACUUUCAAAGCAUAAAAAAAUAAAGCUAUCAUGGUGGGAGUUCCUAAGAACUUUCAUGAGCACAAGAAUCUUUGUUCUUGUCCCUGAUAUAUCUCACCACCUAGAAGAUUGUGUGGUAUAUAGUAGGUAUUCAACAAAUAUUUGUGGAACACAUGAAUGCCUUACUUGUAAUUACUAAACUGAAAUACAAUGUAGUUAAAUAACUGUCUGUGGUCGUGCACCUAGUAUAGAGUGGAGCUGGGAUUCAAACACAGUAAAACCUUGGAAUGUGAGUAACUUGUUCUGAGAGUGUUCUGCAAGAAAAACAAAUACUUCUAAUAAACUUUAACUUGACAAACAAGCAGUAUCUUGCAAUACAAGCAGUACAUGAUGCUGAAUGUCACAUGACCACAACUGAGCCAAUGGUUCUUGAAAUUUGCUUUGAUAUACAAGUGCUUUGGAUUACAAGCAUGUUUCUGGAAUGAAUUAUGCUCACAAACCAAGGUUUUACUGUAUUGACAGGCUUUUUAAGAUUUUGUUUGUUUUCCAAAACUAAAGGAAUUAAAACAACUGGUGUGUGAUUUAUUCACAUUCCACCCAGGGGUGAUACCCUGAGGGAAAGGAAAGAAAGGAGGUAAUCCCAUCAAAUAUCCUUGUCAACUAGAAUUUAGGCUAUACAGAGUCGUAUAGAGUCAUAAUAUUAUUCAAGAGGGGGAGUCUGUGUCUGUUUAGUAUUCCUAAAGGAAUGCUCCUUGCAGGACUGCCUGCAGGGCACGUGAAGCCUUGGGCAAAUAUUUUCUGGGGAUGUGGGGGUAGGAGCCUUGUUUAUAUAAAUUCUUUGAUUAAAUAAUAUAUUAUAAAAUUAAUACAUUGGGGUAUAGUGAUCUAAUGAAAAUUUAGAGUGAUGUAUAGAAAAAUGGUACUUAAGUAUUAGUUUAUUUUCUGAUCAGAGCCCAUGAUGAUUCUUCAUGGUGGCCAGGCAACAUCUGUUUUUGUUGAGAUUCAGGAACCAUGUUCUUCAUGUUCUUUAUUUUUCUGGUUAUACCAUUGUGGAGAGUGCUGCAUUAUCCAUUAUGCCACCCAUAAAUAGGGACUUCAAGGGCGGUGUUAAAGGUUUUUCUGGUACUUUGUUGUUGAUAACCACAAAUACAAGACUUUCACAGAGUGUAUAGAAAAAUGUGAAUGAUAUAUUAUUUCUGGUCUUUUUACGCUUACUGCUGGGAAUUGUAGAGUGUAAGUAUAGAAGAACACAUAUUUCAACUACAUGUUCUUUUGAACUCUUCAGGCCUGAUGUGUGGUAUAGAGUCUGCAAAAAGGAUAGGGUGCCCUGAAUUGUGUGCCAGCACUAUGGUACACAGGGUAAGGAUCCCUCCCUCCACCAUUCUGUGGUACUGAAGUUCAAAGGCAGAAUCAUGGUCAGGACACAGACAGUUGAGAACUGACAACAUAGGCACAAACCAGUAGCUGAAGUCUGAGGGUCAUUGCUAGAUUUUCAGAAAUCCAUAGCUAUCACCUUGCCCUAUGUCUGACAUGAAUGAUAGUCACACAAAAUCAUUGUGUAAGCACAGUUGUGGUGGCCAGAUCUCAUGAUAUUGAAUAAAAGAAAUAUCAUGCUGGCCAGUGGGAACAAUCUGCUGGCUCCAGGAAGUCCCAGACACCGGAGGGGAACUUAAAAAAAUCUAUAGAAGACAUUUCUAGCAAAAAGACCCAGAAAGGGUCUGGUCCUGGCCAAGUUCCAGGUCUUAGCCAGUCCCAGGCAUUGGAGUGAGACAGAAGUUUUGAUGUAAGUGUUUCUGGUGACCAGGAUUCACGUAAGACCAGGUUUGACCUUAGGGUACCCUGCCUGAAUGGUCAACUCCAGACAAUUCUAGACACUAUAUGGAGACUUAGAAUUUUCUAGUGAAGGGAAUCCAAAACCCAGAGUCCUGUGAGGGACCUGUACUAGGGGAGGGGCUCUGCUUGGUAGGUCUGAGAGUGGGAGUUUACUGAUAAUGAAUUAUUUAAUAAAAUCUAUGAGGCGGGGCUUCCUGGAAAAUGUCAUUUAAAUGCUACAACUCUGGAAUAUUAAAUUGAGAUGUCUCACAAUUAAAGCCUUCUUUAUGAUGUAAAUAUGGAACAUAUAUGCUAUAUGAAGUAACUCUGUGGACUUCACUUGUAGAAAUUUCAUCUAUUAUUCCAUGCCAAUGUUUCACGUGGGACGAUAGGACUAGGGGAACUAUCCUUGAUGUCCUAGGCAUCUUUCUGCUUUGUCUGAAUCUCAUGUCUCUAUCCUUGAAAUUGUUAGUAAAAUGGAACACCGGGGGAGCCAUGAUGACAGUUGAUCCCUCCCUGCCGUUUGAAGUCCUUGCUAAUGACCUACCUGUAAUUUUCAGACCCAUCAACAAGGAUCCUACAUGCUUUCUCAGGCCAGCAAGGUUGAAGCUGAGGUUACUGAUUCAAGAUCUUCUUUUUCUAGUACUAUAAUUUUAUGAUGCAAAUAUUCCACAGUUUGUGUAUCCAUUCACCUGUAGAAGCACUUCUGGCUGUGUCCAGUGCCAGGUCCUUAUAACUAAGCUGCUUGAACAUUUUUGUGCCCGUUUCUUGGAUCUAUUCUGGGCUCAGCCAAUUGGAUGCCCUCAUGUGGAACUCUGAAGUGAUGGAGGGAGUGAUGCAGAGACACAGAAACAUCAGAGUUACUGGCAGAGGGAUGAAUGCCAGGAAGUAUCCAGUGACAGCAACUGCCAAACUCAUCACCCUGCUCCUGUGUAAACAUAGGGACAGCUUAUGUUGAAAACUAGUUUUCAUCCCAUCCAUUCAGUGGACUAUUCAAUAUCCUUCCAAUAACAUCUUUUCGGCUUAAAUGAGGAUGAAAAGAAGGAAGUCAGGAUGGCUUUGUGAUUUUUGUAUUUAAGAUAACUGGUAAGCUACCAUGAUAAUACUGGUGAAGGAAUGUUGAUAAGGAUAUUUGGAAUUAAAGUCUAAUUCCUAAUUCCACAGGUGAGGAAAUCAAGGCUCAGAAAUAUUGCCUACAGGUACCCAGUUAGUUAGGGUGGGAUGCAAAUCCUAGCCCUGACUCCUAGUUCCAAGCCCUUUUCAACACACCUGUCAGUGAAAUGAGGUGUAGAGUCCUGGAAAUUGUAAAGGUUGGCAAGGGGCCCUGCAUCAGUGCUUCCUAAAACUGCUUUUACCCCAGGGAAAAGUGAGACCUUUCAUUUUCUGCAGAGAAAAGCAAACAUUGCCCAUUAAGGUUUGUACACAUCCAUGCCACUCUGGGAACUGUUGCUGAUACGUAGCAGCAGGACAUGUUAGGAGCCACUGGGCUGUAAGGAACACUUGUUGACAGUGACAAGAAAGCUGGUGCUUAUUACAGCAAUGCAGUUAUGUCAUUGUGCAUAAAAGAGCUUGAAAAAUGAAGAAAUGUGGCAAGAUUCUAAAGUAUAUUCCUAUUACUCAAUACAACAGAUAUAUAAAAGCCUACUGUGUACAAAGCAUAGGACAUGGAAUUUAAAUCUACCAAGAUGGGUGAGCCACAGACUCUGGCCUUGAGGAGUUUAUAACUUAAGAGGAAAAGGCAGUUGUCACAAGCUUGAUCCAUGGGAUAUGUCUGGCAGAAGUGGAGGUUGCAGAAGAUGAGUGUAAUCUGGAAAUAUAGGCCAGUGAAGGAUUAGGAAAGAGACUGUUCAAAAAUCGAACAGGGGUGCCACCUCUGACUGCAAUCUAACAAAAGAAAAGGCAAGAGCAGAGAGCAAGAGAACAGUCAAGAGAUUUUUUACAAGAGGGCUGACAAGAGAUAUGAUCGUGUCAAGAGGAAGAGGAAAGAAAGGCUACUUUGAGAAUGAAAUUGCAAUUUCAUAGCACAGUAGACACAGCCCUUCAUAAAUGUACCUCUGCUUUAUCUCUUGGCACUUAAUGUGUACCUGGAUCUUUCUUAACACCUCUUUAAAAAGGCCUUCCUCUCUCACAUCUCUGUACCUUUGCACAUACUACUUUUUCCUACUUUCUGAAAGGCUUUCUUCUGCUCUUUACCUACAUCAAUCUCCUUCAUCUAACUUUCAUGUCACUUUCUCCAGGAUGCGGAAGGCUUCCACUUUUUCCUCCCAGCCUUGGCAACCGGUACUUAGUUAAUGGCAACUAAUAAUUAUCAUACUGUCCAUUGAUAAUCUAUUUUGUUAUGUUUCUUUUACUAGGUAUGAGCUUUUUGAAGUGGCACUGUCUCGUGUUCUAAAUCCAUGGCAUGAAAACAGAAAUAAGCUUAAUAUAUAUGGAUUAUAGAAGUGAAACGAGACACAAUGUGGAUUCAGAUCGGAUAUGAUUUGGCAACUGAUUGGACAUGGGGGCUGAGAAAAGAAGGGAUCGUGGAGCUGACUGCUUUCUCCCCUGCCUGGAAAGAUAGUAAUUCCUUUAAUAGCAGAGGGAUCAUGGCAGAAGGAGCAGAUUUGAGAAACAAUGAGUUCACUUUUGUAUUAUUCAAUCUGAGAUUGCUAUUGAAUGUCACAGGGACACAUCCUGCGUGCAAUUGACAAGUCUCUGUGAGAGUUCAGCCAAGUGUGUGAAGCAGAACAUAGAGAUCUAGGAAUCAUCAUCAGGCUGUACUUGUGGGAAUUAAAGUGCUCUCCUAGAGAAGAAUUAGAAAGUAAAAGUGCUCAGGACAGACACCUGAGGGAAUGCAGCAAUUCAAAGAUAAUGCUAGAAGGCUAUCAGCUGAUAUGUAAAAAUAAACUUCCUUGAGCAGUAACACAUGUACCCCUAGACCAGAGCUUGUGAGAUUUCGGUGCAGUUAGAGUCCUAUGCUCAGCUGUAAAAAGGUGAGCAUUGCUAUUAGGCAUGAGAGAACACAGCAAAGCUUAGGAGAGGAAAUAGUUGUAAAUCACCUUUAAAACUGCAGCUCUUAGUUCUCCUUCCUGAGCCUAGAGAACCUAUAGAGAUACAGACAAAACCUAUUACAAUUUCUAUAUUCCAAAUUGAUAUUUGCUCAAUUAAGUAAUUCUAAAUUGUAUCUUUUUUCUUUACAUUUAUGCAUCUAUGCCUGGGAAAAGGUUGAUAACCUCAACAGCCUAAGGAAAAUUUAACAGAGACAAAUUAAUUUUUUCCAGUGCAAAGUUACAAAUUAUCUAGAGAUUAUCCACUGCUAUGGAUUAUACAUGACUUGACUCCACUGACUCAGAUAAUUGAACGCUGAUGCUAAUUAGCAAAAUUUUUUUAUAAAACAAUUUUGAUAGUGCAGUAAGCUGAUAUUUACUACUAAAACUCCUGAUGCUUUAUAAAUCCAUGGAUAAUAUUAAAUUGUCAGGACCUCAACCUGAAGAGUGAGGAGGGCUUAGGCCUUAUGGUCACACUGCUGGGUAGAACACUUAUUGCCCUAUGGAGAGGAAGAGAGGCUUGGCUAAUGAUGAAUGUUCAACAGAUUUGGCACUCUUGUCCUCAUGCAUGCCAUGUGCCACCCUCCCACUGUUAGGAAACUGUCAUCAGUCAUUUCCUCUAACAAACUGGAGAGGAAUAAGGUAUGCACAAAGCACCAGAAGUAGAUACUGCCCUUGGAUGAAAUCUCUUCAUGAAAAUUCCUGGCCAUAUUUAGCCCACUGCAUCUAGUACUAACUGACAUUGGAAACUAUGGUUCCAAUUAGCUUUCCGUUUCCUUUAAGUGUUUUUCUUUUCCUGUUGGCUUUUCUGUGUCUUCCGUAACCUGAAAAGACAACUGCUUCAUUACUUCAAAGAAAUUUUAACUCAAGGGGGUGGGGGUGGGGGACUGAUCAACCCAAACUUAUUCUUUAGUCUGAGACUCACAAGAGAUUGUCUCUAAUCAUCAAUAACACUGAUAAUUCAGCAUCACACUGCCCCUGUUCCUGGAAUAUCAUGAUGUACAUAUGGUCCAAGGAAGAAGAGUGGGGAGCCAUCAGUAAGCAGCGUGUAGAGAGCAGAAGCUUUGGGGUCAGAAAACCAUAUAGGGAUGUAGACUCAGAAAAAUUAAUAGCUAUAUCAUCUCUGGUAAGUUGACUUCUUUCAGUCUUUUCUCAUUGUCGAAAUGGGAACAAGAAUAUCAGCUCUGCAAGGUUGCCAUGAGAAUUAAGGGGUGUAAAGUCUGCACUAAUAUAGCACAGAGCCCUGCUGCACAUUAACUGCUAUGAUAGCCCCAUAGUAAGUCAGGUACAGAUGAUGCCUGAGGUAUAAUACAUUAAUAACAGGAGUUAAGAAAAUGAGGUAUUGAAAAUAGCUACGAUAUAUUAUAUCCCAUUGUUAACUGUUAAUGGUGUCCAAUUAGGAGUAAUGCCUUUGAGAAAAAAUCUGUUCAGUUAGCUUGUGAUACUGAUUUAUAAGCAUAGAAAUGAUUGUAAGAAGUCUUGUCCUAAUAAAUUUCCUGCCUAGGAAUUCUAUCUCCAACAGCAAUAAAACAUGGCUGUUGUUA